rnacentral:miRNA from 1 species
UUCCCGACUCCCCCCAUACCAC